rnacentral:lncRNA from 1 species
AGUUCAGGACUAUGAUGCUGAUUGCCUUCCUGACACAUCCAUACUACACUGAUCAUAAAGAGCAAGAGGCUGACAGACAAUGUCAAACAGCUUUCCAUGGGAACUUGGAUUCUACAGUCCAUGUAUACAGAUGUGGAGAACAUAUUCUAGAAGAUAUCCUGAUUUAGCGGGUUCUGAAGAACCCAAUGUGUUCAACCACCUUCUGAAAAUGAAGAAAAAAAUCCCACAUUUUCUACAGAGGAAUAAUUUUAGUUUACUCCGUGUUUUAAAGGAAGGAAUGAGAUAUUGCACUGUGAAGAACACUCCAAAAAAGACUUUUGCACUUAAUGCAACCAAGCACCAUCAUUCAGCUCUUUCAGUCCUUUUCAGUCAGUGUCACAGUAUGUAA